rnacentral:rRNA from 1 species
GACGAACGCUGGCGGCGUGCUUAACACAUGCAAGUCGAACGGAAAGGCCCUGCUUUUGUGGGGUGCUCGAGUGGCGAACGGGUGAGUAACACGUGAGUAACCUGCCCUUGACUUUGGGAUAACUUCAGGAAACUGGGGCUAAUACCGGAUAGGAUCUCCUGCUUCAUGGUGGGGGUUGGAAAGUUUCGGCGGUUGGGGAUGGACUCGCGGCUUAUCAGCUUGUUGGUGGGGUAGUGGCUUACCAAGGCUUUGACGGGUAGCCGGCCUGAGCGGGGGACCGGACAAAUUGGGACGGGAAUAAGGCCCGGACUCCAACGGGAGGCAGCGGUGGGGAAUAUUGCACAAUGGGAGGAAGCCUGAUGCAGCAACGCAGCGUGCGGGAUGACGGCCUUCGGGUUGUAAACCGCUUUCGCCUGUGACGAAGCGUGAGUGACGGUAAUGGGUAAAGAAGCACCGGCUAACUACGUG